GCAAGGUGAGAAUCCUUGCGGCCGAAUAUCCAAGGUUUCCAGAGUAAAGCUGAUCUGCUCUGGGUAAGUCGGGGCCUAAGGAGAGGCAGAGAUGCGUAUCCGAUGGACAGCAGGUUUAAGAUUCCUGCACCCCUUGUUAUCAGAACUGCGGGGACACGGGAAGGGAAGCAGAGCCGGGAAUGGAAAGCCCGGUGCAAGCGAAGGAGUCGCAGGGUUGGAAAAUCCGCCCUGCAUAAGACGAAGGCGUGAUGCGGAGCGAAAUGAAGUAGUGAAGCUGCGGCCCCUUCCUGUCGAGAAAAGCCGCUAUCGUGUAGCAAGGGCCCGUACCGUAAACCGACACAGGUGGAUGAGGAGAGGAUCCUAAGGCCGGCGGGAGAAGUGUUGUUAAGGAACUCGGCAAAAUGACUCCGUAACUUCGGGAGAAGGAGUGCUGCGCAAGCAGCCGCAGAGAAAUGGUCCAAGCAACUGUUUAGCAAAAACACAGGUCUAUGCGAAACCGAAAGGUGAGGUAUAUGGGCUGACGCCUGCCCGGUGCUGGAAGGUUAAGGGGAGAGCUUAGCGCGAGCGAAGGUUUGAACUUAAGCCCCAGUAAACGGCGGCCGUAACGAUAACGGUCCUAAGGUAGCGAAAUUCCUUGUCGGGUAAGUUCCGACCCGCACGAAAGGCGUAAUGAUUUGGGCACUGUCUCAACAACACACCCGGUGAAAUUGAAAUACCAGUGAAGAUGCUGGUUACCCGCGCCAGGACGGAAAGACCCCAUGGAGCUUUACUCCAGCCUGAUACUGGGAUUCGGUAUUGCAUGUACAGGAUAGGUGGGAGGCUAAGAACUCAUGGCGCCAGCCGUGAGGGAGCCGAUGUUGGGAUACCACCCCUGCAGUACUGGGUUUCUAACCUGCGCCCGUGACCCGGGCGGGGGACAAUGUCAGGCGGGGAGUUUGACUGGGGCGGUCGCCUCCGAAAGGGUAUCGGAGGCGCUCAAAGGUCUCCUCAGGAUGGUUGGAAACCAUCCAGAGAGUGCAAAGGCAGAAGGAGGCUUGACUGCGACACCGACGGGUGGAGCAGGUACGAAAGUAGGACUUAGUGAUCCGGUGGCAUAAAGUGGGAUUGCCAUCGCUCAAGGGAUAAAAGCUACCCUGGAUAACAGGCUUAUCACUCCCAAGAGUUCACAUCGACGGAGUGGUUUGGCACCUCGAUGUCGGCUCAUCGCAUCCUGGAGCUGGAGCAGGUUCCAAGGGUUGGGCUGUUCGCCCAUUAAAGCGGUACGCGAGCUGGGUUCAGAACGUCGUGAGACAGUUCGGUCCCUAUCCGGCGCGGGCGCAGGAUAUCUGAGAGGAGCUGUCCUUAGUACGAGAGGACCGGGAUGGACCGUCCGCUGGUGGACCGGUUGUCAUGCCAAUGGCACGGCCGGGUAGCCAAGACGGGAAGGGAUAAACGCUGAAGGCAUCUAAGCGUGAAGCCCCCCUCAAGAUGAGAUAUCCAUACUCGAAAGAGUGAGAGGCCCCUUAAAGACGAUGAGGUAGAUAGGGCAGGGAUGGAAGUGCAGCGAUGCAUGGAGUUGACUGUUACUAAUCGGUCGAAAGCUUGAC
rnacentral:rRNA from 1 species